rnacentral:rRNA from 1 species
GCUUACGGCCAUACCAGCCUGAUUACGCCCGAUCUCGUCCGAUCUCGGAAGCUAAGCAGGGUCGGGCCUGGUUAGUACUUGGAUGGGAGACCGCCUGGGAAUACCAGGUGCUGUAAGCUU